AUGGCCAGGCUUGCUUCCUCCUUGCUGCUGCUGCUUGUCCCUGCAUAUGUCCUGUCCCAGGUCACCUUGAAGGAGUCUGGCCCUGGGCUCUUGCAGCCCUCUGAGACCCUCAGUCUGACCUGCACUUGCUCUGGGUUUUCACUGAGCACUUAUGGUUUAGGUGUGGGCUGGAUCCGUCAGCCUCCAGGGAAGGGUCUGGAGUGGCAGGCACUCAUUUAUUGGGAUGAUGAUACAAGGUACAACCCGUCCCUGAAGAGCUGGCUCACCAUCUCCAAGGACAGCUCCAACAACCGGGUGUUCCUCAAGCUCGCCAGUGUGGACACUGCAGACUCUGCCACAUACUACUGUGCUCGGAGAACACACUGUCACAGCCUCCGUUUGCAGCUGUACA